rnacentral:rRNA from 1 species
CCUACGGUUGGCAGCAGUGGGGAAUAUUGGACAAUGGGGGGAACCCUGAUCCAGCCAUGCCGCGUGUGUGAAGAAGGCCCUCGGGUUGUAAAGCACUUUCAGUGAGGAAGAACGCCUGGUGGUUAAUACCCAUCAGGAAAGACAUCACUCACAGAAGAAGCACCGGCUAACUCCGUGCCAGCAGCCGCGGUAAUACGGAGGGUGCGAGCGUUAAUCGGAAUUACUGGGCGUAAAGCGCGCGUAGGUGGCUGGAUAAGCCGGUUGUGAAAGCCCCGGGCUCAACCUGGGAACGGCAUCCGGAACUGUCAAGCUAGAGUGCAGGAGAGGAAGGUAGAAUUCCCGGUGUAGCGGUGAAAUGCGUAGAGAUCGGGAGGAAUACCAGUGGCGAAGGCGGCCUUCUGGACUGACACUGACACUGAGGUGCGAAAGCGUGGGUAGCAAACAGGAUUAGAUACCCGAGUAGUC